rnacentral:rRNA from 1 species
CGGGACGGGUGAGUAAUGUCUGGGAAACUGCCCGAUGGAGGGGGAUAACUACUGGAAACGGUAGCUAAUACCGCAUGACGUCGCAAGACCAAAGAGGGGACCUUCGGGCCUCUUGCCAUCGGAUGUGCCCAGAUGGGAUUAGCUAGUAGGUGGGGUAACGGCUCACCUAGGCGACGAUCCCUAGCUGGUCUGAGAGGAUGACCAGCCACACUGGAACUGAGACACGGUCCAG